rnacentral:rRNA from 1 species
CAGUCGUACCGGCGGGUAAUCAGCCUUUUGGGUGUGAUUAUGUGGAGCGUGAGGAGCUAAUCGCCUUCAUCUUUGCAUAUUCGUGCACUUUGGGUGUACUUGCCCGUGUGUAAGUUAACAUCAAUUUUGGUGGUCAUAAAAUGACUGGAGGAAUGUGGCUUCGAUCUUGUAUUGAAGUGUUAUAGCCUUGGUAGAUGUGAUGAUCGGGAUUGAGGUAUUGACAACGGAC